UAAGCAUAUCAAUAAGCGGAGGAAAAGAAACCAACAGGGAUUGCCCUAGUAACGGCGAGUGAAGCGGCAACAGCUCAAAUUUGAAAUCUGGCGCAAGCCCGAGUUGUAAUUUGUAGAGGAUGCUUCUGGGUAGCGACCGAUCUAAGUUCCUUGGAACAGGACGUCAUAGAGGGUGAGAAUCCCGUAUGUGACCGGCCCGCACCCUUUACGUAGCUCCUUCGACGAGUCGAGUUGUUUGGGAAUGCAGCUCUAAAUGGGAGGUAAAUUUCUUCUAAAGCUAAAUACCGGCCAGAGACCGAUAGCGCACAAGUAGAGUGAUCGAAAGAUGAAAAGUACUUUGGAAAGAGAGUUAAAAAGCACGUGAAAUUGUUGAAAGGGAAGCGCCUGCAACCAGACUUCGCGGCAGGGUUCCGCCGGUCUUCUGACCGGUUCAUUCUCUGUCGCGAGGCCAUCAUCGUCUGGGCCCGCCGGAUAAGACCUUAGGAAUGUAGCUCACCUUCGGGGGAGUGUUAUAGCCUAGGGUGAUGCGGCGAGGCUCGGGCGAGGUCCGCGCUUCGGCAAGGAUGAUGGCGUAAUGGUUGUCGGCGGCCCGUCUUGAAACACGGACCAAGGAGUCUAACAUCUAUGCGAGUGUUCGGGUGUCAAACCCCUACGCGUAAUGAAAGUGAACGGAGGUGGGAACCGCAAGGUGCACCAUCGACCGAUCCUGAUGUCCUCGGAUGGAUUUGAGUAAGAGCAUAGCUGUUGGGACCCGAAAGAUGGUGAACUAUGCCUGAAUAGGGUGAAGCCAGAGGAAACUCUGGUGGAGGCUCGCAGCGGUUCUGACGUGCAAAUCGAUCGUCAAAUUUGGGUAUAGGGGCGAAAGACUAAUCGAACCAUCUAGUAGCUGGUUCCUGCCGAA
rnacentral:rRNA from 1 species